AUUGAACGCUGGCGGCAUGCUUUACACAUGCAAGUCGAACGGCAGCACGGGGGCAACCCUGGUGGCGAGUGGCGAACGGGUGAGUAACACAUCGGAACGUGCCCAGUUGUGGGGGAUAACCUAUCGAAAGGUAGGCUAAUACCGCAUGAGCUCGGCAAGAGGAAAGCGGGGGGACUCGAGCGAGUGGGCCUCGCGCGACUGGAGCGGCCGAUGUCCGAUUAGCUAGUUGGUGGGGUAAAGGCUUACCAAGGCGACGAUCGGUAGCUGGUCUGAGGAGGAUGAUCAGCCACACUGGGACUGAGACACGGCCC
rnacentral:rRNA from 1 species